UACGUAGGGUGCGAGCGUUGUCCGGAAUUAUUGGGCGUAAAGAGCUUGUAGGCGGUUUGUCGCGUCUGCUGUGAAAUCUCAAGGCUCAACCUUGAGCUUGCAGUGGGUACGGGCAGACUAGAGUGUGGUAGGGGAGACUGGAAUUCUCGGUGUAGCGGUGAAAUGCGUAGAUAUCAAGAGGAACACCGGUGGCGAAGGCGGGUCUCUGGGC
rnacentral:rRNA from 1 species